AGCUGUGGUUCCGCUAUGAAUGAUCAAACCCAGCGGAAAAUACUGCAAUAUGCUGUGGCAGAACUGAUGACAAGGAGGAAAGCAGGAAUGUGAACACUUCAUGCUUAACCAUCUGGUACCAGGAAGCAUACAUCUCCACUCUGAGAGAUCCUGGACACAGCAAAGAUUUCUUCUUUGUCAUCCCUUAAAAGCCUGGAGAACAUUUGCCAAAGAUGGCAGCACGUGGCAAUAUUGUGUGGAUGGAAUCUUAUGAAGUGCAGCAGCUGCCACAUGGUUCUGGUUGAACAGGAGACUUGGUCUGGCAGCAGCCAGCAUUUUGGAACAACUUUCAAGCGGAUAAAUGAACCACUUGGGCCUCCCUCUCUGCAGCUAUCAAGUCCCAACAUGAUCCUCAAACUCAGAAGUACGAACAUGACCAUGCACCUCAAUGACUCUUACACUAAAAGAAUCAACCGCCUCUAGCAAUUCAUUCCUGAAACAGAACAGGAGGUGAUUAGCUCAGGAGGUUUCUACUGUGUCCUUCAAGCUUUUUGGAGUUGUACAACAUAACACUUUUACUCAUAUCAGGUGGCAUGCUGCAACUUGAUCCACCGAUGCUUCAUUCUGGAAGCACAAGUGGAUGUAAAUGGAAAUCAGGUUUGUUUCAACAACAUGAUACCUUCCUACUCUUUGUCCAACAUGAACUAAUCAAAUAUUCCAGGAUACUAAUGAUUUUAAUAUCAAAGCAAACACUCCUUGCUCCUUGAACCUUUCACCCUGCAGCCUCUAUCUGUUUUACUCAAUUAAUAAACACAGCUCUUUAUCUGUUCUUACUGGUCUGCUACUAUCUACAGUAUGUGUUUACCACAGCGCAUUGAAAUAUGGGGUCGUCUUUUCAAAAAAUAAUUAUCCUUAAAUUUAUUUGGCACAGUUUAUUCUGUACUCGAUUUCCUUUAUUAACUCAGUUUUAAUAGUCCUACAGCUAUUACGCGACGU